rnacentral:rRNA from 1 species
UACGGGGGGGGCAAGCGUUGUUCGGAAUUACUGGGCGUAAAGAGCGUGUAGGCGGCCAGAUAGGUCCGUUGUGAAAACUCGAGGCUCAACCUCGAGACGCCGAUGGAAACCAUCUGGCUAGAGUCCGGAAGAGGAGAGUGGAAUUCCUGGUGUAGCGGUGAAAUGCGCAGAUAUCAGGAAGAACACCCGUGGCGAAGGCGGCUCUCUGGGACGGUACUGACGCUGAGACGCGAAAGCGUGGGGAGCGAACAGG